GGGCGACAUUGAGUCAUUUUUUUCCAGGUUAAUUUUAUCUAUCUUUAAUACCAAAAUGGAUGAUGGUUUAUACUGAUGUUGUGAAUAUGAGAUUACACAUGGAAACUGUUUAUUUUUAUUAUAGUAAAUUAGGAAUUAUUAGAAAUUGUUAAAUCCACUAUACGAUCACAAUGAUCUUGAUAGACAUUUCGAUAUUUUUUCUUUUGUUAAUAUAUCAUACUGCAGAUUUAUGGAGAAUUGCUGUGGGAGUGCUAUUUAUAUCACGCUGACUAAUGAUCAUUCAUCCAUGCUGUUUGUCUCAUCAUUGCAGCUUUGGAAAUAAAUGAACUAGUUAAAUAACGGUUCAAUUUAAAAAUAAAAAAAUCCAUCCUUUGCUCCUUCCUGUGUUGACUCACUGACUUGAGGGACGGGACCAGGAAGGUCACAUAUAGACCAGGAUUUGUGCAAGGGGGCAUUGUCAUGCUGAAACAGGAAAGGGCCUUUUCGAACCUGUUCCCACAAAGUGGGAAGCACAGAAUCGUUUAGAAUGUCAUAGUUUGCUGUAGCGUUAUUAAGAUUUCCCUUCAUUGGAACUAAGGGGCCUAGAGCAUUAUUCCUCCUCCACCAAACUUUACAGUUGGCACUAUGCAUUGGGGCAGAUAGCGCUCUCAUGGUAUCUGCCAAACCCAGAAACUGCUAGAUGAUUCAUCACUGCUACAUGAUUCAUCACUCCAGAGAACGUGAUUCAAUCUCCAGAGUCCAAUGGCGGUGAGCUUUACACCCCUCCAGCAUUGCACAUGGUGAUCUUAGGCUUGUGUGCGGCUGCUCGGCCAUGGAAACCCAUUUCAUGAAACUCCAGGUGAACAGUUCUUGUGCUGAAGUUGCUUCCAGAGGAAGUUUGGAACUCGCUAGUGAGUGCUGCAACCGAGGACAGACGAAUUUUACACGGUCCUGUUCUGUGAGCUUGUGUGGCCUACCACUUCUUGGCUGAGCCAUUGUUGCUCCUAGAAGUUUCCACUUCACAUUAACAGCACUUACAGUUGACCUGGGGCAGCUCUAGCAGGGCAGACAUUUGACGAACUGACUUGUUGGAAAUCAAAUCAAAUCAAAUGUAUUUAUAUAGCCCUUUUUACAUCAGCUGAUAUCUCAAAGUGCUGUACAGAAACCCAGCCUAAAACCCCCCAAACAGCAAGCAAUGCAGGUGUAGAAGCACGGUGGCUAGGAAAAAACUCCCUAGAAAGGCCAGAACCUAGGAAGAAACCUAGAGAGGAACCAGGCUAUGAGGGGUGGCCAGUCCUCUUCUGGCUGUGCCGGGUGGAGAUUAUAACAGAACAUGGCCAAGAUGUUAAAAUGUUCAUAAAUGACCAGCAGGGUCAAAUAAUAAUAAUCACAGUAGUUGUCGAGGGUGCAACAGGUCAACACCUCAGGAGUAAAUGUCAGUUGGCUUUUCAUAGCCGAUCAUUGAGAGUAUCUCUUCCGCUCCUGCUGUCUCUAGAGAGUUGAAAACAGCAGGUCUGGGACAUGUAGCACGUCCAGUGAACAGGUCAGGGUUCCAUAGCCGCAGGCAGAACAGUUGAAACUGGAGCAGCAGCACAACCAGGUGGACUGGGGGCAGCUGGGAGUCAUCAUGUCAGGUAGUCCUGAGGCAUGGUCAUAGGGCUCAGGUCCUCGGAGAGAGAGAAAGAAAGAGAGAAAGAGAGAAUUAGAGAGAGCAUACUUAAAUUCACACAGGACACCGGAUAAGACAAGAAAAAUACUCCAGAUGUAACAGACUGACCCUAGCCCCCCCGACACAUAAACUACUGCAGCAUAAAUACUGGAGGCUCGGUUUGUGAAGUGGCAUCCUAUGACGGUGCCACGUUGAAAGUCACUGAGCUCUUCAGUAAGGCCAUUCUUCUGCCAAUUUUGGUCUAUGGCUGUGUGCUUGAUUUUAUAAACCCUAAUUUGAAGGGGUGUCCACAUACUUUUGUAUGUAGUGUAUUUUGGAUGAACAUCUACAGGAGACUGUUGAAGGAGCCUAAUCAGAUAAAAACAUUGU
rnacentral:lncRNA from 1 species